rnacentral:rRNA from 1 species
GUUGAACGCUGGCGGCAUGCCUUACACAUGCAAGUCGAACGGUAACAGGUCUUCGGAUGCUGACGAGUGGCGAACGGGUGAGUAAUGCAUCGGAACGUGCCCAGUAGUGGGGGAUAGCCCGGCGAAAGCCGGAUUAAUACCGCAUACGACAUGAGGGUGAAAGGGGGGGAUCGCAAGACCUCGCGCUAUUGGAGCGGCCGAUGUCAGAUUAGCCAGUUGGUGGGGUAAAGGCCUACCAAGGCAACGAUCUGUAGUUGGUCUGAGAGGACGACCAGCCACACUGGGACUGAGACACGGCCCAGACUCCUACGGGAGGCAGCAGUGGGGAAUUUUGGACAAUGGGCGCAAGCCUGAUCCAGCAAUGCCGCGUGCAGGAAGAAGGCCUUCGGGUUGUAAACUGCUUUUGUCAGGGAAGAAAUCUUCUGGGUUAAUACCUCGGGAGGAUGACGGUACCUGAAGAAUAAGCACCGGCUAACUACGUGCCAGCAGCCGCCGUAACAC